UUAAAUUGAAGAGUUUGAUCAUGGCUCAGAUUGAACGCUGGCGGCAGGCCUAACACAUGCAAGUCGAACGGUAACAGGAAGCAGCUUGCUGCUUUGCUGACGAGUGGCGGACGGGUGAGUAAUGUCUGGGAAACUGCCUGAUGGAGGGGGAUAACUACUGGAAACGGUAGCUAAUACCGCAUAACGUCGCAAGACCAAAGAGG
rnacentral:rRNA from 1 species